UACGUAGGGUGCAAGCGUUGUCCGGAAUUAUUGGGCGUAAAGAGCUCGUAGGCGGUUUGUCGCGUCUGCUGUGAAAACGCGAGGCUCAACCUCGCGCCUGCAGUGGGUACGGGCAGACUAGAGUGCGGUAGGGGAGAUUGGAAUUCCCGGUGUAGCGGUGAAAUGCGCAGAUAUCGGGAGGAACACCGGUGGCGAAGGCGGUUCUCUGGGCCUUACCUGACACUGAGGAGCGAAAGCGUGGGGAGCGAACAGG
rnacentral:rRNA from 1 species